AUUGAACGCUGGCGGCAGGCUUAACACAUGCAAGUCGAGCGAGCGGCGGACGGGUGAGUAAUGUCUGGGAAACUGCAUGAUGGAGGGGGAUAACUACUGGAAACGGGAGCUAAUAACGCAUACCAGAAGAUGAGACCAGAUGGUAUUAGCUAGUAGGUGGGGUAAUGGCUCACCUAGGCGACGAUCCCUAGCUGUUCUGAGAGGAUGACAAGCAACACUGGAACGUGUACACGUUCCAGCCUCCUACGGGAGGCAGCAGUGGGGAAUAUUGCACAAUGGGCGCAAGCCUGAUGCAGCCAUGCCGCGUGUGUGAAGAAGGCCUUCGGGUUGUAAAGCACUUUCAGCGAGGAGGCGUUACUCGCAGAAGAAGCACCGGCUAACUCCGUGCCAGCAGCCGCGGUAAUAC
rnacentral:rRNA from 1 species